rnacentral:rRNA from 1 species
UACGUAGGGGGCAAGCGUUGUUCGGAAUUACUGGGCGUAAAGCGCGCGUAGGCGGCAGCGUGUGUCGGGCGUGAAAUCCCACGGCUCAACCGUGGAAGUGCACUCGAAACUGCGCAGCUGGAGUCUCGGAGAGGAAGGCGGAAUGCUUGGUGUAGAGGUGAAAUUCGUAGAUAUCAAGCGGAACACCGGUGGCGAAGGCGGCCUUCUGGACGAUGACUGACGCUGAAGCGCGAAAGCGUGGGGAGCAAACAGG